rnacentral:rRNA from 1 species
UAGGGAAUCUUCCGCAAUGGACGAAAGUCUGACGGAGCAACGCCGCGUGAGCGAAGAAGGUUUUCGGAUCGUAAAGCUCUGUUGUUGGAGAAGAACAGGUGCCAGAGGAAAUGCUGGUGCUGUGACGGUAUCCAACCAGAAAGCCACGGCUAACUACGUGCCAGCAGCCGCGGUAAUACGUAGGUGGCAAGCGUUGUCCGGAAUUAUUGGGCGUAAAGCGCGCGCAGGCGGCUUCUUAAGUCUGAUGUGAAAGCCCACGGCUCAACCGUGGAGGGUCAUUGGAAACUGGGAAGCUUGAGUGCAGAAGAGGAGAGUGGAAUUCCACGUGUAGCGGUGAAAUGCGUAGAUAUGUGGAGGAACACCAGUGGCGAAAGCGGCUCUCUGGUCUGUAACUGACGCUGAGGCGCGAAAGCGUGGGGAGCAAACA